rnacentral:precursor_RNA from 1 species
UUCAGUCCACUCAGGGGCGGUGCUAGGGUCGGAUUAGCUGCCGACUCAUUCACCCACAUGCCAAGCAAACGGCCAUGGAAACGAGCUUCGCAGAUGAGUGAAUGAAGCGGGAGGUAAAAGCUUCGAUCUCGCACCGUCUUUGCUUGGACUGAAGGGUGCUCCCUCCGAUCCUUUCCUUGUUUACUUUACCCAUGCAGCUUCAUCAUUCGUAUCUCAAGUCAAGGUUUUACUUCAUAUGAUCUGUAUUUUAUUUUCCAACCUGCUGUCUCGAACUCUUGAUCUGUCUUUGCUUGAGCUGCUUAUUAAUUAUUAUCUUGCA